rnacentral:rRNA from 1 species
AACGAACGCUGGCGGCAGGCCUAACACAUGCAAGUCGAGCGCGCCCUUCGGGGUGAGCGGCGGACGGGUGAGUAACGCGUGGGAACGUGCCCUUUUCUACGGAAUAGCCUCGGGAAACUGAGAGUAAUACCGUAUACGCCCUUUGGGGGAAAGAUUUAUCGGAAAAGGAUCGGCCCGCGUUGGAUUAGGUAGUUGGUGGGGUAAUGGCCUACCAAGCCGACGAUCCAUAGCUGGUUUGAGAGGAUGAUCAGCCACACUGGGACUGAGACACGGCCCAGACUCCUACGGGAGGCAGCAGUGGGGAAUCUUAGACAAUGGGGGCAACCCUGAUCUAGCCAUGCCGCGUGAGUGAUGAAGGCCUUAGGGUUGUAAAGCUCUUUCAGCUGGGAAGGUAAUGACGGUACCAGCAGAAGAAGCCCCGGCUAACUCCGUG